AGAGCAGAUAAAAAAAAGGGCCAGCCAGAUGUCCGAGGCCGAUACUCCCUUUGCAUGCUUUUGGCUUCUGUAAUCUGGCUUGCCCCUUAUAUCAGCCGGCAGCCAGGAACCAGAAGCUUGACUGUACUAGUCCUGCCCAACCUGGAAGCACACAUAUAUAAAGGAUCAGUAAAACCCAGCAGGUGCUCAGCCUUUGGAGGUGACUCUGCUGGGCCAGUACUGGUGUGAAAGAAAUAUUCUUUUCUGAUUCCCCAAGUGCGCGUCGCUUGUCUCUUCCUGGGGGCCGAGUAUUUGCUGUAACAAUAUGACCUCAAAGAACCAGCUUUCUGGGCUUGUGGAGGCAGAGGAGGAAGAGGAGUUCUACCAGAUGGCAUCUGGGGGUUUCACAGAAGAAUCUGGAGGUAGGCUUCACGCCCAGCACAGAGCCCAACUUGGAGCUUGAACUCAAGACCCUGAGAUCAAGACCUGAGCUGAGAUCAAGAGUCGAAUGCUUAACUGCUGAGCCACCCAGGAGGUGUACCCAAAGUCCCGUGUCCGGAUUUUGAAUGAGUGCUUCAUUUCAGGAUCAAUUACCUUAAGCUUCCCACAAA